rnacentral:rRNA from 1 species
CCUACGGGAGGCAGCAGUGAGGAAUAUUGGUCAAUGGCCGGAAGGCUGAACCAGCCAUGCCGCGUGAAGGUCAGUGCCCUAUGGGCGUUAAACUUCUUUUGUGCGGGAGCAAUAAUGGUCACGUGUGGCCAGACGAGAGUACCGUACGAAUAAGCAUCGGCUAACUCCGUGCCAGCAGCCGCGGUAAUACGGGGGAUGCACGCGUUAUCCGGAUUUUUUGGGUUUAAAGGGUGCGUAGGCUGGGAGGUAAGUCAGCGGGGAAAUGCCCCCGCGCAACGGGGUGAAGUGCCAUUGAUACUGCAUUGCUGGAAUGCGGAUGCGGUGGGAGGAAUGUGUGGAGUAGCGGUGAAAUGCAUAGAUAUCACACAGAACACCGAUUGCGAAGGCAUCUCACGAAUCCGCGAUUGACGCUGAUGCACGAGAGCGUGGGUAUCAAACAGGAUUAGAUACCCGUGUAGUC